rnacentral:rRNA from 1 species
CCAGACUCCUACGGGAGGCAGCAGUGGGGGAUAUUGCACAAUGGGGGGAACCCUGAUGCAGCGACGCCGCGUGGGUGAAGAAGCGCCUCGGCGCGUAAAGCCCUGUCAGCAGGGAAGAAAAUGACGGUACCUGAAGAAGAAGCCCCGGCUAACUACGUGCCAGCAGCCGCGGUAAUACGUAGGGGGCAAGCGUUAUCCGGAUUUACUGGGUGUAAAGGGAGCGUAGACGGCAGUGCAAGUCUGGAGUGAAAGGCGGGGGCUCAACCCCCGGACUGCUCUGGAAACUGUGGAGCUUGAGUGCGGGAGGGGCAGGCGGAAUUCCUAGUGUAGCGGUGAAAUGCGUAGAUAUUAGGAGGAACACCGGCGGCGAAGGCGGCCUGCUGGACCGUAACUGACGUUGAGGCUCGAAAGCGUGGGGAGCAAACAGGAUUAGAUACCCGCGUAUU